rnacentral:rRNA from 1 species
AGAGUUUGAUCCUGGCUCAGAGCGAACGCUGGCGGCAGGCCUAACACAUGCAAGUCGAACGGACCUUUCGGGGUUAGUGGCGGACGGGUGAGUAACACGUGGGAACGUGCCUUUAGGUUCGGAAUAGCUCCUGGAAACGGGUGGUAAUGCCGAAUGUGCCCUUCGGGGGAAAGAUUUAUCGCCUUUAGAGCGGCCCGCGUCUGAUUAGCUAGUUGGUUGAGGUAACGGCUCACCAAGGCGACGAUCAGUAGCUGGUCUGAGGGGAUGGCCAGCCACAUUGGGACUGAGACACGGCCCAAACUCCUACGGGAGGCAGCAGUGGGGAAUCUUGCGCAAUGGGCGAAAGCCUGAUGCAGCCAUGCCGCGUGAAUGAUGAAGGUCUUAGGAUUGUAAAAUUCUUUCACCGGGGACGAUAAUGACGGUACCCGGAGAAGAAGCCCCGGCUAACUUCGUGCCAGCAGCCGCGGUAAUACGAAGGGGGCUAGCGUUGCUCGGAAUUACUGGGCGUAAAGGGCGCGUAGGCGGACAUUUAAGUCAGGGGUGAAAUCCCAGAGCUCCACUCUGGAACUGCCUUUGAUACUGGGUGUCUUGAGUGUGAGAGAGGUAUGUGGAACUCCGAGUGUAGAGGUGAAAUUCGUAGAUAUUCGGAAGAACACCAGUGGCGAAGGCGACAUACUCGCUCAUUACUGACGCUGAGGCGCGAAAGCGUGGGGAGCAAACCGGAUUAGAUACCCCGGUAGUCC